GACAGAGGAGCCAAGCGUUGUCCGGAUUGACUGGGCGUAAAGCGCACGCAGGCGGCCGUGCACGUGGGGUGUGAAAGCUGGCGGCUUAACUGCCAGACGCCACCUCAUACGGCACGGCUCGAGCCCGUGAGAGGUCCACGGAAUUGCCGGUGUAGUGGUGAAAUGCGUAGAGAUCGGGAAGAACAUCGGUGGCGAAAGCGCUCUGCUGGACUGCAACUGACACUCAGGGACGAAAGCUAGGGGAGCGAAUGGG
rnacentral:rRNA from 1 species